GACGAACGCUGGCGGCGUGCCUAACACAUGCAAGUCUACGAGAAAAGGGUAGCAAUAUCCUGAGUAAAGUGGCGCACGGGUGAGUAACACGUAGGCAAUCUGCCCUUAGGACGGGAACAACCCCGGGAAACCGGGCUAAUACCCGAUAAUGCAGCGGCACCGCAUGGUGACAGUUGUUAAAUGCCCGCAAGGGCGCCUAGAGAUGAGCCUGCGUCCCAUUAGGUAGUUGGUGAGGAACGGCCCACCAAGCCUACGAUGGGUAGCUGAUCUGAGAGGAUGAUCAGCCACACUGGAACUGAGACACGGUCCAGACUCCUACGGGAGGCAGCAGUGAGGAAUAUUGCGCAAU
rnacentral:rRNA from 1 species